rnacentral:rRNA from 1 species
CCUACGGGUGGCAGCAGUGGGGAAUAUUGGACAAUGGGCGAAAGCCUGAUCCAGCCAUGCCGCGUGUGUGAAGAAGGCCUUCGGGUUGUAAAGCACUUUCAGUGGGGAAGAAAGCCUUGGGGCUAAUACCCUCGAGGAAGGACAUCACCCACAGAAGAAGCACCGGCUAACUCCGUGCCAGCAGCCGCGGUAAUACGGAGGGUGCGAGCGUUAAUCUGAAUUACUGGGCGUAAAGCGCGCGUAGGCGGUCUGAUAAGCCGGUUGUGAAAGCCCCGGGCUCAACCUGGGAACGGCAUCCGGAACUGUCAGGCUAGAGUGCAGGAGAGGAAGGUAGAAUUCCCGGUGUAGCGGUGAAAUGCGUAGAGAUCGGGAGGAAUACCAGUGGCGAAGGCGGCCUUCUGGACUGACACUGACGCUGAGGUGCGAAAGCGUGGGUAGCAAACAGGAUUAGAUACCCUGGUAGUC